rnacentral:lncRNA from 1 species
AAAUCCAUAAACAAUAAACACCACAUCAGAAAAGGAAAGAAAAUGAGCAUUUGCGUGAAUGCAUGAAUGAAGCAGCAAAGAAGGGCGAAAUUAGAAAUGCAAAAAAUGCUACGCAUAUGCAAAAAAUGAAAGGUGAAAUUUUAGAUCAUUUUCAGUCAAAACCCAGAAGAAAAUAGGAAAACAAGUCUAUAAACAAACAAACCACAACGUUGGAAAAAAAAAAGAACCCAAAAUACAAACUGCAACUUACAUUUGCAAAUCUAACAAAAUCAGAGCUAACAAAAGAGAAAUCAGCCGCUGCAAACUCAUUAAAACCACAAAAAAGAAGAAAAAGAAAAGUAGCUCAAAAUCCAGAUACGAUCACAAAGAAACAUUUCAAUAAUCUCUUGCC